CCUACGGGAGGCAGCAGUGGGGAAUCUUAGACAAUGGGCGCAAGCCUGAUCUAGCCAUGCCGCGUGAGUGAUGAAGGCCCUAGGGUCGUAAAGCUCUUUCAACUGUGAAGAUAAUGACGGUAGCAGUAGAAGAAACCCCGGCUAACUCCGUGCCAGCAGCCGCGGUAAU
rnacentral:rRNA from 1 species